rnacentral:rRNA from 3 species
AAGAAUUUAAAAGUCGAACAGACUUAAAAUUUAAGCGGCUACACCUAAAAUUAUAUCUUAAUCCAACAUCGAGGUCGCAAUCUUUUUUAUCGAUAUGAACUCUCCAAAAAAAUUACGCUGUUAUCCCUAAAGUAACUUGUUUUUUUAAUCGCUAAUAACGGAUCAAUUAUUCAUAAAUUAAUGAUUUAAACAAUUAAAAGUUUAUUAAAUUUUAAUAUCACCCCAAUAAAAUAUCAUCUAUUAUCAUAACAAAAAAAAUCUACAAAAUUAUAAUAAUAUAAAUAUAAAGAUUUAUAGGGUCUUCUCGUCUUUUAAAUAAAUUUUAGCUUUUUGACUAAAAAAUAAAAUUCUAUUAUAAAUUUUUAUGAAACAGUUAAUAUCUCGUCCAACCAUUCAUACCAGCCUUCAAUUAAAAGACUAAUGAUUAUGCUACCUUUGCACAGUUAGUAUACUGCGGCCAUUUAAAAAAAUUCAGUGGGCAGGUCAGACUUUAAAAAAAAUUCAAAAAGAC